AAAGCUUACGCCCAAAUAAAUGUUAGUCUUUAAGGUGCCACCGGACUCCUUGUUGUUUUUGUGGAUAUAGAUUAACACGGCUACCCCCUGAUAUGUUUACUUAGUUAUUUUCACAGCAUAACUACACAUUAAAUUACUUGUUUCAGCGUAGCAGCCGGGUUAGUCUGUAUUCGCAAAAAGAAAAGGAGUACUUGUGGCACCUUAGAGACUAACAAAUUUAUUAGAGCAUAAGCUUUCGAUGCAUCCGAUGAAGUGAGCUGUAGCUCAGGAAAGCUUAUGCUCUAAUAAAUGUGUUAUUAAAUUACUUGUGUCCUUUUCAUUCAAAAAAAAAUUAAGGGUGGUAGUGUGGGAAAUAACCCUAAGCACAAUUUAAAUCAAAAUGGUUUGUGCUGUGACCGGCAUCGAAUGAUGUAAGACUCCUUAGAAGUCCUACUUCAGUAUGUAGCUACCCUCAAAGUUUGAAAUGAAAGAGAAGCACUUAGAACCACUUGCCUCUUGCUGUCUUGCAUACCCUUUCCCCACUUUCACCCCCAACCUUGCAAAUGUGUAUUUCAAGUUCUUGCGUUUUGUAUUAAUUGAUAACAUAUCCAAAGUCUGGGAAGGCUGCUAUUUUAUUAGACUAGUUUGUAAUAUAAAUAUUAAUAUAAGUGGAACACUUACAUAUUUGAUCAUACAGUGGGACUGCUCAUAUCCUACAAAACUGGGCAUUUAUAUUUAAAGCAAUUAGGACAAGAAGUGGGAGAUUUAUACAAUGGAAAAGGGAAGAUUUCCCACUUUAAAAUAAUAAUGGGCAAUUAUUUUAGGUAAUUUAUAUUCCAUAUAUAAAUUACCUAAAAUUGGUUUUCCAUGUAUAAAUCACAAUUUUAAAUAUAAAACAUCUCAGGAUUUCCAGGGCUAGAAGUAAAUACUGUUUAUCUCAUUGGAAAACCUCUUCUCUAAUGAUAUAAAACUCAUCUCAAGCUCUGAUGAGUUUUGAGAUGUUGGACUUUAAAUCUGUCAUUGAUACAUAUUGCCCAUAUUGCACCUCAGUUUGUGUGUCUGUUGGGCAUUUCUACAAUAGGUAAAAGAAGAAAAUCUUUCUUGUUGCUGUUGUUUUUUAAAGGUAGUAUGAGAAUGCCUAGCUUCACCUGGUUUCAGUAUCAGGCUGAGACUUUGGUAUGUGAUAGGUGGCUGAGGUAAGUACGGAUCUGUUACAAUGAAAAGUUAGGUGCUGAAUGAGUUUAGGCAGCAGCUGAGUGGAGGUUUUGUGGAUUUCAGAAGUGCCUAAGUCCCUUUGUGGAUCUGUAUUUUCUUGUUUUGCACUUGCUUUUAGUGGAAAAGUGGUUUUUUAAAAAAAAGAGAAAAAAUGUCUUCAAAAGAGCACUACCUGGCAUUAGAAUAGAAUCAAAAAGUCUACAAUCACCAAUAUGCCAAAGCUGUCUUUAUACAACUACUGAUCUUGCUUAGCGUCCAAGAUCAGGCCUAUUCAGAGUGGUAUGGUUAUAGACAGUUUUAAUUGUUGCUUUUAAUCUUUUCAUCCUCUUCUCAUCCUGUUGUAGGUUCUGUGGAUAAUCGUACAUUGCACAUUAACCUAAUUAUUCUACUGCUGAGAGGUUUGCAACUAGAGUGCUUCUUCACUUACCCAGCUCUUGAUUUUUUGUUUUGCUUUUGGCUUUUCAGCAUGGAGGCCAAUUGGAACAAAACAAACUUUAAAACAUUAUUU